GGAGUAACAUGUGCAUACAAAACGCCGUUGCGGGGAGACUGUACAUUGACUGAUCGCCUCUCCUAAGAGCGCCACGGAACUCGACGCCAGGUUGUUUUCCUUUGAACAAUUACUUUAAAGUACAGAUCAAAGAGCCUCUAACAUCUCGAGCAAAACUUGAGCAGCGCGUUUCUUCGUAUUAUUUGCCAUCGAAGACAUGUUACGUGACAAGGAAAUUAUUGCAUCUUGAAGGUGUACUGCAACAUUCUUGUGGGUUCUAAGGCGAGGAGGAAGUAUUCAAGAAAAUAUGGCAAUGGACGUAGACGCCCUACAGAUUGCAAAAUCUGUGGAGAAGAGAUUGGAGUACUACAUGAAUGUAAAGAGAUUGGAGGAGGGGUUUGAUCCGACGGGACAAGGCGUGUACCGAACAUCACACCGUAUGGUA